rnacentral:lncRNA from 1 species
UUUCUCCUUCUUUAACUAUUAAUUCUUAUUCAAACCUUGUGUGUAGCUCUACCUUUAAGCCCUCGACUUACCGCGUCAAGAUUCACCUUAUUCUAGCCAAUAGAUCUUAGAUAUUACAAAAAUCCUAAACAACCCCAAUAUGCCAACUUCUGACACCUCUUUACACUAAUGAUCAUAUAUCCUCUCUCCGUACCGUUAGAUUAACACAAUUUUGUUGCAUACACUUGGCAUACUCAACCAUCUAGACAUCUCUAAAAUUUCAACCAUUGAUGUCUCUUCAAUUUUGUAAAACAGUCAAGAGUACUAGCCUUUACUUUAUUGUAAAAAUCCAAUUCACCAAUACAAACACUAACUUUGAGCAAUGAUUGCAAAGUCCUCCCAAAUCCUAUAAAACCCA